UACGGAGGGAGCUAGCGUUGUUCGGAAUUACUGGGCGUAAAGCGCACGUAGGCGGCUUUGUAAGUUAGAGGUGAAAGCCCGGGGCUUAACUCCGGAACUGCCUUUAAGACUGCAUCGCUUGAAUCCGGGAGAGGUGAGUGGAAUUCCGAGUGUAGAGGUGAAAUUCGUAGAUAUUCGGAAGAACACCAGUGGCGAAGGCGGCUCACUGGACCGGCAUUGACGCUGAGGUGCGAAAGCGUGGGGAGCAAACAGG
rnacentral:rRNA from 1 species